GUGUAAAGUUAGGUUGUUUAUUUGCAUUUUUUCUUACUUCCUGAGGUAAAAUUGCAUUGCUAUAAACUUCCCUCUCAGAACUGCUUUCGCUAUGUCCCAUAGGUUUUCGAUUGCUGUGUCUUCAUUGGUAUUUAUCUCUAUGUAUCUUUCAUGUGUAUUUCUGGUGGUCCCUCUCCCUGCCUUGCUGCUGGUAGGAGUGCUCUCUGUAAUCCCACAGAUUAGAAUGUGGGUUAAUGGGCCUCCCCUAGCUCCCUUGGUAUGGAAAGUGUUCCACUGAUGUGAGCCUUCAUAGGGCCCCUGGGAGGGGUUCUGUAUCUUGUGCUUUUCACUGGUUGGGUAGCCCAGAGUUCCAUCAGAGAAUGUGCACCAGCAUCCCUCUUGUGAAAAUGGGUGCUGUUGCCGGCCACUUUUCGUGUGUUGCUUUGCUGGUAAGAGUUUCUGCAGAUUCUCUUGGCAGAGCUAAGGCACCUGUGUUUUCCCUGAUCAACAGGAAUAAGGGCGUCAGCAGCCCUCUCAUGGGAAUGGGUAUUGUUGCACAGGCACAAGCCUCUGCAGAUUCCCCACACGGAGCUGAGCUGUCUGUUUGCCUGUGUUUUCCAUGCUCAAGCAGGUCACUGCUUUUUCAGGAAGUUGGUGCUGCCACCAGAAGUUUUUCUGGCACUGCUUUGCUGAUGUGAGUCUCUGUAGAUUCUCUAGGUAGACCCAAGGCACCUGUGUCUUCCCCAAUUGACAGGGAGUGGGCACUGGUGUCCUUCUCAUGGGAAUGAGCAGAGCCUCUCUGGGCAGAACUGAGACUAUUUUGUUUUCCCUGCUCAACCAGGCUGUUGCUUUUGUAGGAAGUGGGCACUGCUGCAAUCAGUUUUUAUGGCACUUCCCUGCUGGUCAGAGCCCCUGAAGAUUCUCUGGGUGGAGCCAAAACACCUGUUUUUUCCCUGAUUUCUCAGGGGCUGAGUACCACCACUGUCAGAAGCUCUUCAGGUGCAUGUUGGGCUCCACUAGCUUGGGGCCCCUGUAGGCAGGAACCAGGAAUUGUUAUUCCCCUAGGUGUGACUCCACCUGUUCCAUGAAGUCUGUACCCUAAGUUUGGGGCUGCUUCUUAGCCAUUGCUAGGCAACCAAUACCGCCAACUCAUUCCUGAGCUGAGGUAGGAAAUGUCCUGUAGCUUGAGAAAGCAGUCAUAGGGAGCAAGGCUGUAGUGGUGGAUCCCAGCCUUUCCUUCCAGCAACCCCCACAUGGUGUCUAGUCUUUGAGCCCAACUGGGUUGCCUCUGCUUAAAUGCUCUCCUUUGUGGUUGCCCUAUACUCUAGUCUCUCCAGGCUGUUUCCACGUGGCCAACCGUGUUUUCUUCCCACAUGGCUGGCCCCAGCUUCCUCUUUGGGUCUGAUCUCUAAGGCCGAAGUUUUAGUUCCCAACACCUGCUGGCACCUGCCUACAGUUGCCCAGUGCCUGUUGCCUGUCGCACUGACCAUUUGUGGAGGGCUAUCUCCUUCUUAACUGCUUCAGACCAUUUGUCUAGAAUUCCUCCUCCGUUUUUGGCUGGUCUUGUUGCUGGGGGCCACUUCCUGGGUUGCAGGAGCUCUUCCUCUUUCCAGCUCUCCCCUGAGAUAGCAGGUUCUGUCUCAUUUCCUUUCGCUUCUUUUUCUCUUGUUCUUCUCCUUCUUAUAUCCUAUCUGGUUUUGCAAUGUUUUUCUUGUUCUAUCAUAAUCUUUAAGUCUUUUGUCAGUUUUUCUCAGAUUUUCUGUGUGAAUGAUUCCCCAUAUAGUUAUAUUUUCUAUGUAUUUGUGGGAGUCGAUGAGCUUUAUGUCCUGCUGCUAUGCCAUCUACCUGAUCUCCCCUGGCAGAAGUUUUCAAACUAGUAACAUACAGUGCUAGGAAUGAGGUAAAAAUUUGGGGGCUGUAAAACAAAAAAUACUUUCAGCUUAGGAAUUACACUUGUGGAAAUAUAUUCUAUGAAUGUAAAAUAGUUCAAUGAAGCUCUAUUUGAAUAACAAUUUUUAAAAUCUUGGAUUUGUCUACUAAUAGGCAAAUUCUUAAAUUAAGAUAGUAUGAUAGGAUUUCCCAUUGUGACUCAGCAGUAAUGGAACCAGCCCAGUAUCCAUGAGGAUGCAGGUUUGAUCCCUGGCCUCACUCAGUGGGUUAAGGAUCCAGCAUUGCCGUGAUCUGUGGUGUAGGUCCCAGAUGCGGCUUGGAUCCCAUUUUGCUGUGGCUGUGGCAUAGGCCAGCAGCAGCAGCUCUGAUUACACCCCUAGCCAGGGAACCUACAUAUACCAUAGGUACAGCCCAAAAAAUAAACAAACAAAAAAACCAUAGAUGACUACAAGCCAUAUAAUACAGUUGAAAGCCUUUGAUUAGACCCUCAUUUGAAAUCUCGUUUCUUAAGAAAUGACCUUUCUUACUAGAUAGAUUUGGGAUAUUACCCCUGUCCUCCUGGGUGUGCUACAGGGGAUUUUAAUGUAAGUGUUUAGCACAUAGUAGCAAUUCAUGAACUAUAAUUUCAGCAAGUCUCAGAAGUCACCUAGGUAUGGAGGAAUGAACAUCAGAUUAUGUCUGAUUGCCACAAACCAAAAUAUUCCUCACCCUAGCACAUUAACAUCCACAAUGACUUCCAAAGUAUCUUAUGCAAAUUGUUCAUCCAACCUUACAAUAUCUGGGAAAAUAAGGCACACCUGCCUUGCUAAGAGCAUCAGAGUGAUUUUUCCCUGCAGGUAAGUCAAGUAGUGUUGUUAAAAGUCCAUUACUAGUCAACUCUCAGUUAAAGAAGAAAAUACUCAUCUCAUCCUGUCUGUCAGACUGGGUCUCUGAGUAGUAGUAAAGUUCCACCAACACCAGCACAUUUUCAAGACAACAGUGUGUGAAAUGAUGGUGAGGACAGCAAUCACCAGACUGGUGAAGUGAAUAUUUUAAUACAGGAACCGAUUACAACUUACGAGCGAGCUGUGAGCUCUCUCCAUCUAAAUGCCAGGCAAACACUAUAACGUUGCAAGGGACAACGGUGUGUGAAAUGAUAGUCCUUGUUAAAAUAGCUGAAGUGCAGAAGCAAAUGCUUUCAGGUAUAUGCUUAUUAUAGACUUAUGAGCUGCAAGCUUCACUUCCUUCAGGCAACGGUCUGCAGAUGUCUGGAAUCCACUGUCUUCUUCCUGAAGUCAGUAGUUUGGGGCCAUAACACCCAUGCAGGGAUUCAGUGAGGUGUGAGGGCUGUUGUUCCACAGAUGCUGACGGCUCCUGCUUGCUUUGUGCCCACCCCAUGGGGUUCUGUGAAGAACUGCUUGAACGAUAUUCCCCAAAGUGGUUAUCUACCAUGUGCUUCUCAAAAAGUGUCAUGAAGCUCCUUUUUAAAGAAAAA
rnacentral:lncRNA from 1 species